rnacentral:tRNA from 1 species
GGGGCUGUGGCUGAGUGGUAAGCCUUCUGCUUGGCAAGCAGUGGUCCCAAGUUCAAUCCUCAGCAUCUCCA